GAUGAACGCUGGCGGCGUGCCUAAUACAUGCAAGUCGAGCGAAUGGAUUAAGAGCUUGCUCUUAUGAAGUUAGCGGCGGACGGGUGAGUAACACGUGGGUAACCUGCCCAUAAGACUGGGAUAACUCCGGGAAACCGGGGCUAAUACCGGAUAACAUUUUGAACCGCAUGGCUCGAAAUUGAAAGGCGGCUUCGGCUGUCACUUAUGGCUGGACCCGCGUCGAAUUAGCUAGUUGGUGAGGUAACGGCUCACCAAGGCAACGAUGCGGAGCCCACCUGAGAGGGUGAUCGGCCACACUGGGACUGAGACACGGCCCAGACUCCUACGGGAGGCAGCAGUAGGGAAUCUUCCGCAAUGGACGAAAGUCUGACGGAGCAACGCCGCGUGAGUGAUGAAGGCUUUCGGGUCGUAAAACUCUGUUGUUAGGGAAGAACAAGUGCUAGUUGAAUAAGCUGACACCUUGACGGUACCUAACCAGAAAGCCACGGCUAACUACGUGCCAGCAGCCGCGGUAA
rnacentral:rRNA from 1 species